CCUUACUACCUUCGCUUUUAAAUAUACAAUCAUGAUCGUACCUGCGAGGAAGCAACUUUUUUCGGUAAAUUUUUUUUCUCUGACAUUUGUUAGGCACAGCACGGAUAUUAAAGUAGCACGAAAAUAUUGCGACUCGACCUAUCCCACUUCAUAUUAUUCACGUUUUGUGUACAGUGACGGCUCCUCAGUUCUACUUAAAACUUUUAUUUCUCGUAACGCAAUUCCUCUAGUUUCGGAUAUUAAAAACCAAAGGCCCUGGGUUUCCUCAGAAAUUUUCACGGAAAAGUCUACACAAAAAGGGUCGGAGACUUUUUCGAA